rnacentral:rRNA from 1 species
UACGUAGGGGGCAAGCGUUGUCCGGAAUCAUUGGGCGUAAAGAGCGUGUAGGCGGUUUAGUAAGUCUGCUGUGAAAGUCCAGGGCUCAACCCUGGGAUGCCGGUGGAUACUGCUGGGCUAGAGUACGGAAGAGGCGAGUGGAAUUCCCGGUGUAGCGGUGAAAUGCGCAGAUAUCAGGAGGAACACCGGUGGCGAAGGCGGUUCUCUGGGCCUAUCCUGACGCUGAGGAGCGAAAGCGUGGGGAGCGAACAGG